AGACUUUUGGUCGUGGAACUUUUUUAACACUGCCUAGUGUUUACAUAAAGGCAGUCCACUGGUGAUGCUAAAGUAUGUCAUAUAAGGAGCCACUCCAGCUGAGCGACCUUCCGUGGGAUGACGUUAUUUUCCGCCAUAUAUUCCCUCUGCUGAAAGUCGCAGAUCUGUGUCACUUGCAAGGAGUGUCCAAAGACUUCCAGCAACUGUACAUAGACUAUAUGUGCUCUUGUGAAAAACUGGAUUUUUCAGAAUGUACUAUGACAAAUAGUUCUCUACAAAAGUGGCCUGGUGUCCUUGGGUGAAGGACCCUCCACUCAUUGCACUUUUCAAGAAAAACUCACGGCUGAUUCACGUUGACCUGUGUGGCUGUGAGGGUCUUAAUGGCUUAUCACUACAGGUUCUGGUGGUAAACUGCAAGAAUUUACAGACUCUGCUGGUGGGGAAUUGUGGUAACUGGUUCAGCAUGGGGUGUUGGCAGGUCAUUACCCAGCACCAGUCACAACUAAGGCACAUCAACACAGCCAGUUGCUGGGAUAUAAAUGACAGAACACUGGGGGAGUUUUUCCACAAGUGUAAUAAGCUUAGAGUCAUUGAGUUGAACAAAAUGGAGCUGAUAACAGACACCAUCCUUCACUACCUGGCCACCAACUGUCCCCACCUGGAGCACCUCAAUGUGGCCAGUUGCUGGUACAUCACAGAUAAGGGACUCAAGAAGGUGGUGGAGUACUGUAAAGUGCUGCGGAUCCUGGACGUACGGUUCUGCCCACGUCUGACCGAGCAGUACCUGUACAGCCUGUACUUGAGGGGCAUCAACGUCAAAUCAGAUUACUCUCUCGCCCGCAUGGUUAAGAGGAGGAAGCACGUCAACAAUUUGGGGAUUAAUGUACAAAUCUAGUCAUAAGAGAUCCUUGGACAAGUUUUCAGAUUCAAGUUGAACCUUAUUCCCUAAUUCAUGAGGGUGUAUAUGACAAAACAAUACGUCUCUCCUGUGGGAUAAAAUUCUCCCAUCAUAUCAUACACCUCAACAGUAUUGUAACAUAUAGUUUACUUCAUUGAGUUUAUUAAUCUAUCAAUACAGUGUACUGUAAUUUAACCCUUUAGUAGGCAGUGUAUCCCUUGGGUAUUUUAUUAUGGCUGGCACCUGACAAUUUUAUUUAUCUGAGAGAAACCCAUCCCUAAAAGGUUAAUGUUUCAUCCUACCUUAGAGGUAAUUCAUUGAGUUUAUACACCACCCAUUUUGAAAAGAUUAAUAUUAAUUCAUAGAGUUUAUUCAUCUCGGUAUUUUAGACUAUUCAUGCUCUGUUACAGACCUUAUUCAUCAUCCACUAUUAUAAAGAUUCAGACUGCCUCAUAGUUUGUUAAUAAACAUUCUUCAUCAUGUAUACCUCAUCCAUUAUUGUAAAGCUUCAUCUGCAUCAUAAACAUCUCCCAAGCCUUACAAUUACAGCUGGAUCACGUUCCCAGAUAAUCAUCACUAGGUCAUAAGCUCACCUCACAAGCCACGCCAAUACAAGGAGCUCACAUCGACGGUAAUUCUCACUGGCUAACUGCAUCAUCUCACAAGGCACAUCACUAUAGCUGCCUCAUCUCAUCAAGUACACUACUGUAAUUACCAUAAGAUAAUUAGAUUUCACAGUCGACCUCUGUAAUGUUAUGUCAGAUCUAGUAUAAUGAGGGCUUUCAUUACGGUCUACUGAACUACGUACGGUACUGUAUUUGACUGUAUUUUGUCCUGUGUGCUGCAGGUUUUUUAAAUUUUGCAGAAGUUCAUUAAAAGUGAAGAACAGUGUGAUAUGUAAAAGAAGUGGAUUUAUGGUUAGAUAUCCAUAAAAUGUAUUAAAACAUAUUUUAGAUUUCUAUAUUUUUAGAAGUGGGAGGAUAUUAGUGAUAUGAGAGUUACCGGGUAUAUAUCUUUAUGUAUAUGUGAGUGUGAAUUUUUUUCAUUAAAUUCUUUUCUCCAGUUUUUCAAGUAGGAUUGUUAGCUUCAACUGAAAACACACACACACACCACUCCCUCUUCAUUCACUGCAAGACCUCACUUCAUGCUGUGCUUUCUGGUUAUAUAUGUUUGUCACUACUGUACUUCCCUAAUGGUCCUUUCCCUUCACCCCAUCCUUCAUCUCUAGCCUUCACCCCCACUUUUCACCCUAUCUUUUUCUUGGUCUUCCCGUCCUCCCUUAGCUAAUCUUUCCACUGCCAUUCUCUCAGAAUGUCCGCACCACCUCACUACACACUGGUCUGUUUUCUGCCCAAUACUUGCUUUACUACCACAGGUCCUAGCUUAUGUAUUAUUUAUCCACUGAUUAUUAUUAACCCAACUUGUUGCUCUGAUGCUCAUCAUUUGUAGCUUGUAAUAUGUUCUUACUCUCAGAGUCCAUACUUCACACUCCAUAUAUACAGCACAGUAGUACAGUAAUGGUGGCUCAAGGGUUAACUUUUAUAUUAGGUAAUUCAUCAUUAGUUAGUCUGUUGUCUUUCUUCCUUUGCCUCUCAAUUUUAUUUCAAAUAAUUCAUACGAAAGUUGAUUUAAUUUAAAUAAAUUCUUUAAGAAAU
rnacentral:misc_RNA from 1 species